AUGAUAGCUGCAUCGGGGUAUAAUUUUUGCUGGAACCCGCAUGGUUUUGUCCAAGGCAAACUGUACUUGGUCACCACCGGCCGUACAGAACCAUAUCAGCCCCGGAACCCUGACGGGUUGCUGGAGGUUGAUGUGGCAACCGAGGAAGUCCGCACGCAUCGUCUACCUUUCAAGUACAACCAAUACCACUCAGCCUGGGAUCCGCCGGUGAUCACCUUCGAGAUGAGUGGGCGACUGGGCCUUGUCGUGGACAUCCUCAAGGGCGAGAAGACCUGUUUCCGGAAGCUCCAGUUCUAG
rnacentral:rRNA from 1 species